GUGCCAGGGUGGAUGCAGCCUUGGAAAAUGACAGGGCUUAGUAAAUAACUACAAACAGAUGUCAAAUGGGCAAAAUGAAAACAGGAAGACUAAACUCCUUCAUUGUCUCAAGCCUUACAUGAGGAGAAGAACAUGCUGCACUAAAACAAACAAAACUUGUAACAAUUCUGGCUAUAUAAAAGUAUAAAAAUCUAAGAAGAAAAUGAAGAAAUCUCAUUCAAUCAGUUGAUGAAGGAUGUUUCAACUUAAUGACCA